CGCGGCCUAUCAGCUUGUUGGUGGGGUAACGGCCCACCAAGGCGACGACGGGUAGCCGGCCUGAGAGGGCGACCGGCCACACUGGGACUGAGACACGGCCCAGACUCCUACGGGAGGCAGCAGUGGGGAAUAUUGCGCAAUGGGCGAAAGCCUGACGCAGCGACGCCGCGUGAGGGACGAAGGCCUUCGGGUUGUAAACCUCUUUCAGCAGGGAAGAAGCGAAAGUGACGGUACCUGCAGAAGAAGCACCGGCUAACUACGUGCCAGCAGCCGCGGUAAUACGUAGGGUGCAAGCGUUGUCCGGAAUUAUUGGGCGUAAAGAGCUCGUAGGCGGUCUGUCGCGUCUGCUGUGAAAACUCGGGGCUUAACCCCGGGCCUGCAGUGGGUACGGGCAGACUAGAGUGCGGUAGGGGAGACUGGAAUUCCUGGUGUAGCGGUGAAAUGCGCAGAUAUCAGGAGGAACACCGGUGGCGAAGGCGGGUCU
rnacentral:rRNA from 1 species